rnacentral:rRNA from 1 species
UACGUAGGGUGCAAGCGUUAAUCGGAAUUACUGGGCGUAAAGCGUGCGCAGGCGGUUAUGCAAGACAGAUGUGAAAUCCCCGGGCUCAACCUGGGAACUGCAUUUGUGACUGCAUAGCUAGAGUACGGUAGAGGGGGAUGGAAUUCCGCGUGUAGCAGUGAAAUGCGUAGAUAUCUGGAGGAACACCGGUGGCGAAGGCGGCAUCCUGGACCAACACUGACGCUGAGGAGCGAAAGCCAGGGGAGCAAACGGG